rnacentral:rRNA from 1 species
GACGAACGCUGGCGGCGUGCUUAAUACAUGCAAGUCGAACGCAAUGGGGACGGGUGAGUAACACGUGGGUAACCCCCCAUCAGAGGGGAUAACACUUGGAAACAGGUGCUAAACCGCUACUGAUGGAUGGAACCGCGGUGCAUUAGCUAGGUGGUGCGGUAAAGGCUCACCAUGGCCACGAUGCAUAGACGGUCUGAGAGGUGGAGCGGCCACACUGGGACUGAGACACGGCCCAGACUCCUACGGGAGGCAGCAGUGGGGAAUCUUCGUCAAUGGACGAAAGUCUGACCGAGCAACGCCGCGUGAGUGAAGAAGGUUUUCGGAUCGUAAAACUCUGUUGGUAGAGAAGCGGUAUCUAACCAGAAAGCCACGGCUAACUACGUGCCAGCCGCCGCGGUAAUUC